UACGAAGGGGGCUAGCGUUGUUCGGAAUUACUGGGCGUAAAGCGCACGUAGGCGGAUCGAUCAGUCAGGGGUGAAAUCCCAGGCUCAGCCCUGGAACUGCCUUUGAUACUGUCGAUCUGGAGUAUGGAAGAGGUGAGUGGAAUUCCGAGUGUAGAGGUGAAAUUCGUAGAUAUUCGGAGGAACACCAGUGGCGAAGGCGGCUCACUGGUCCAUUACUGACGCUGAGGUGCGAAAGCGUGGGGAGCAAACAGG
rnacentral:rRNA from 1 species